rnacentral:rRNA from 1 species
UACGUAGGGUGCGAGCGUUAAUCGGAAUUACUGGGCGUAAAGCGUGCGCAGGCGGUUUUGUAAGCCAGAUGUGAAAGCCCCGGGCUUAACCUGGGAAUGGCAUUUGGGACUGCAAGGCUUGAGUGCGGCAUAGGAGACUGGAAUUCCUGGUGUAGCAGUGAAAUGCGUAGAUAUCAGGAGGAAUACCGAUGGCGAAGGCAGGUCUCUGGGCUGACACUGACGCUCAUGCACGAAAGCGUGGGGAGCAAACAGG